rnacentral:rRNA from 1 species
UACGUAGGGUGCAAGCGUUAAUCGGAAUUACCGGGCGUAAAGCGUGCGCAGGCGGUUUUGUAAGUCUGAUGUGAAAUCCCCGGGCUCAACCUGGGAAUUGCAUUGGAGACUGCAAGGCUAGAAUCUGGCAGAGGGGGGUAGAAUUCCACGUGUAGCAGUGAAAUGCGUAGAGAUGUGGAGGAACACCGAUGGCGAAGGCAGCCCCCUGGGUCAAGAUUGACGCUCAUGCACGAAAGCGUGGGGAGCAAACAGG